UACGUAGGGGCCAAGCGUUGUCCGGAUUUAUUGGGCGUAAAGAGCUCGUAGGCGGUUCGGCAAGUCAGCUGUGAAAUCUCCACGCUCAACGUGGAGGGGUCAGCUGAUACUGCUGUGACUUGAGUCCGGUAGGGGAGUGUGGAAUUCCCGGUGUAGCGGUGAAAUGCGCAGAUAUCGGGAGGAACACCAGUGGCGAAGGCGACUAUCUGGGCUGCAACUGACGCUGAGGCGCGAAGGCUAGGGUAGCAAACGG
rnacentral:rRNA from 1 species